rnacentral:rRNA from 1 species
UGCCAGUGAUAAACUGGAGGAAGGUGGGGAUGACGUCAAGUCAUCAUGGCCCUUACGAGUAGGGCUACACACGUGCUACAAUGGCGCAUACAAAGAGAAGCGACCUCGCGAGAGCAAGCGGACCUCAUAAAGUGCGUCGUAGUCCGGAUUGGAGUCUGCAACUCGACUCCAUGAAGUCGGAAUCGCUAGUAAUCGUAGAUCAGAAUGCUACGGUGAAUACGUUCCCGGGCCUUGUACACACCGCCCGUCACACCAUGGGAGUGGGUUGCAAAAGAAGUAGGUAGCUUAACCUUCGGGAGGGCGCUUACCACUUUGUGAUUCAUGACUGGGGUGAAGUCGUAACAAGGUAACCGUAGGGGAACCUGCGGUUGGAUCAC